GACGCGACGGGUCCGCCCACAGGCAAGGAAGGCCGACCCCGCGAGUGCAGGCGCGAGCGCUAGCCCGUGACGUCUGAGGGGGUUGGGGGGUUGCUGUGUGGGUUUCAAGAAGACGCCACGCCUCCGCCGCCGCCACGCCUCCGCCGCCUCCACCGCCGGCUGCCGCGCCCGGAGGAGGUCGGGAUGUUAUCACUUCCGCCGGGGCCUCUCACUGUGUCCGGGUCAGCUGCUGCCGCCGACGCCGUACCGCUGCGGCCGGGGGAUUGGGCCGGGGUCUCCACCGCCGACCGAGGGGAGCGGGCUCCGCUCGGCCCUGCUUUUUGCGACCUGGCCGUCAGCCCCACGUCGCCGGCCUGGAGGGGCGAAGAGGACGAGGGGGCCAAGGCUUCCUCCGGGGACAUUGGCUCCCUGGAUUAUCAAGAGUUUGUAGUUGACAUUGAAUCCAGGCUGAGGAUGGAAGGUGUGGAACUUAAAGAAGAAUGGCAAGAUGAAGAUUUUCCGAUACCUUUACCAGAAGAUGAUAGUAUUGAAGCAGAUAUACUAGCUAUAACUGGACCAGAGGACCAGCCUGGCUCACUAGAAGUUAAUGGAAAUAAAGUGAGAAAGAAACUAAUGGCUCCAGACAUUAGCCUGACACUGGAUCCUAGUGAUGGCUCUGUAUUGUCAGAUGAUUUGGAUGAAAGUGGGGAGAUUGACUUAGAUGGCUUAGACACACCGUCAGAGAAUAGUAAUGAGUUUGAGUGGGAAGAUGAUCUUCCAAAACCCAAGACUACUGAAGUAAUUAGGAAAGGCUCAAUUACUGAAUACACAGCAGCAGAGGAAAAAGAAGAUGGACGACGCUGGCGUAUGUUCAGGAUUGGAGAACAGGACCACAGGGUUGAUAUGAAGGCAAUUGAACCCUAUAAAAAAGUUAUCAGCCAUGGGGGAUAUUAUGGGGAUGGAUUAAAUGCCAUUGUUGUGUUUGCUGUCUGUUUCAUGCCUGAAAGUAGUCAGCCUAACUAUAGAUACCUGAUGGACAAUCUUUUUAAAUAUGUUAUUGGCACUUUGGAGCUAUUAGUAGCAGAAAACUACAUGAUAGUUUAUUUAAAUGGUGCAACAACUCGAAGAAAAAUGCCCAGUCUGGGAUGGCUCAGGAAAUGUUAUCAGCAAAUUGAUAGAAGGUUACGGAAAAAUCUAAAAUCCCUAAUCAUUGUACAUCCUUCUUGGUUUAUCAGAACACUUCUGGCUGUUACAAGACCAUUUAUUAGCUCGAAAUUCAGCCAAAAAAUUAGAUACGUGUUUAAUUUGGCAGAACUAGCAGAACUUGUCCCCAUGGAAUACGUUGGCAUACCAGAAUGCAUAAAACAGGUCUUCCUGUGUCACCCAGGCUGGAGUGCAGUGGUGCAGUCUUGGUUCACUGUCGCCUCCGUCUCCAGGGCUCAAGCAAUCCUUCCACCUCAGCCUUCUGAGUAGCUGGGACUACAAGUGCACACUACCACACCUGGCUAAUUUUUGUAUUUUUUGUAGAGACGGAGUUUUGCCAUGUUGCCCAGGCUGGUCUCAAACUCCUGGUCAAGCAGUCCGCCCGCCUCGGCCUUCCAAAGUGCUGGGAUCAUAGGUAGUUGAUCAAGAACUUAAUGGAAAACAAGAUGAACCGAAAAAUGAACAGUAAGUUUGGCAUCUAGUCCAAACAAGACUGAAGAAUGUGCUGAUGGAGCAGUGCUGUUUCUGCAUUCAUAAUGCAUUUAUUGGCCCAUAUUUUUAUGUAACCUGUUACAAAAUAGACUUGACUUUUUCAUAAUGGACUUUUGUAUUAUACAAGGGACUGUUCACUGCUGUACUGGUUUGCAAAUUUCUUGAAUUUAGCUCUUUAAUAGCUAACUGUAUUAUUAUCAUUUUAUAUUUUAUAUUGCUAAAUAGAGAACCACACUUUAUAUAAAGCAGUUUUUGCAUUUGUUUAUUGAAUGAUGCAUCUUCUUCGGUGAAAUAUUUAUAUGCAUAAAUGGCAAAGGAAAGAAAUAAUAUAUAUUUUUAUGUCAUUGAGCAAUAUUUUUUAAUGUGUACCUGUCUUAUGGAAGAAAUAUGCAGGUACAUAAGACCACGAUUUUCUAAAGUGCAUAUUAGAAUUUUUGUUUUUGUAAAUGGUUAAAUACAUUUCCUGGGUAACUUAGAAAAUUAAGUUUUUCAUAAGGCAACAGAUGGUUAAACUGAUUCUCAUGAAUACCCAAAGAUCAUGUAUAUAAUCGAAGUGUAUUAGUACCAUCCCAAGGUUUUUUUCUCAUUUAACAUAUUUGUUUCAUAAUUCAGCAAGUACAAAUGCAAGCGCAUUGCACACUUUUUCCUUUCUAAACUUAAAGACAAGUCAAAAAGCCAUUCUUAGAACUAGAGGAUUUAAGAGGGUAGGAAUUAGGGUUUGUAUAUAUGUAUAUAUGGGACAUUUUAUCUUCUGGCCCAAAGUCAGAACUUUAUAAAAAUCUUGAGUUUGUUCACUAAUGUGAAAUAAGCUAUGUGUCCAGGGUAUUGCUCCCCUGAGUGUGUAUGAGUGCUGAGUAGUAUUGCAGAGAAUGUGAUGAGUUAUUCACUGUCACAACUUUUUCUAUAGAAAACAGGGGCUGCUUUUUAAACUGCUCUCACUAUGGGCACUUUACCAAAAUUCUUCCAUAUCAAUUAUUUGAACUCAGUAGUUGUUUGACCUAGUUAGAUGUGGUGUUUAUUCAAGUUUGUAUGAAAUCAUGUUUGACAAUACUGUAAAUUAGGUUAAUUUUGUAAGUCUUAGCAUCAUCAUAUUGUGCUGUUUUGGAUAACACGUUUGUUACAAGCAUUUAAACUGUUUCAUUUGGUAGUACCUUUACAUUGAAAUAAAUUGUGUUUGUGCCUCCAAACAAAAA